rnacentral:rRNA from 1 species
CCUACGGGUGGCAGCAGUAGGGAAUUUUCGGCAAUGGGGGGAACCCUGACCGAGCAACGCCGCGUGAACGAAGAAGUUAUUCGUAAUGUAAAGUUCUUUUAACAGGGAAGAAAGAGAAAUUUUACGGUACCUGAAGAAUAAGCUCCGGCUAACUACGUGCCAGCAGCCGCGGUAAUACGUAGGGAGAGAGCGUUAUCCGUAAUUAUUGGCCGAAAAGGGUGCGUAGAUGGCAUAGUAAGUCUUUUGUAAAAAUGCUGGGCUCAACCCAGUAGGGCAAAAGAUACUGCAAAGCUAGAGUAUGACAGAGGCAAGCGGAACUAGAGGUGUAGCGGUAAAAUGCGUAAAUAUAAGGAAGAACACCAAUGGCGAAGGCAGCUUGCUGGGUCGAUACUGACAUUGAGGCACGAAAGCGUGGGGAGCAAACAGGAUUAGAUACCCUUGUAGUC